GACGAACGCUGGCGGCGUGCUUAACACAUGCAAGUCGAACGGUGAAGCGCCUUCAUUUUUGGUGGGUGUGGAUGAGUGGCGAACGGGUGAGUAACACGUGAGUAACCUGCCCCCUUCUUCUGGAUAACCGCAUGAAAGUGUGGCUAAUACGGGAUAUUCUGGGUCUGUCGCAUGAUGGGUCUGGGAAAGAUAUUGUUUCGGUGGGGGAUGGGCUCGCGGCCUAUCAGCUUGUUGGUGGGGUGAUGGCCUACCAAGGCGGUGACGGGUAGCCGGCCUGAGAGGGUGGACGGUCACACUGGGACUGAGACACGGCCAAGACUCCUACGGGAGGCAGCAGUGAGGAAUAGUGCACAAUGGGCGCAAGCCUGAUGCAGCGACGCCGCGGGAGGGAUGGAGGCCUUCGUGUUGUGAACCUCUUUCGCCAGUGAAGCAGGCCUGCCUCGUUUGUGGGUGGGUUGACGGUAGCUGGAUAAGAAGCGCCGGCUAACUACGUG
rnacentral:rRNA from 1 species